GAUGAACGCUAGCGGCAGGCCUAAUACAUGCAAGUCGAACGGUGUCUUCGGACAUAGUGGCGCACGGGUGCGUAACACGUAUGCAACCUACCUUACAUUGGGGGAUAGCCUUUCGAAAGGGAGAUUAAUACCCCAUAAGACAGUAGCUGGGCAUCCAGCAGCUGUUAAAGAUUUAUCGAUGUAAGCUGGGCAUGCGUCCAAUUAGCUAGUUGGUGAGGUAACGGCUCACCAAGGCAAUGAUUGGUAGGGGAACUGAGAGGUCAAUCCCCCACACUGGCACUGAGAUACGGGCCAGACUCCUACGGGAGGCAGCAGUAGGGAAUAUUGGGCAAUGGACGCAAGUCUGACCCAGCCAUGCCGCGUGCAGGAUGAAGGCGUUAUGCGUUGUAAACUGCUUUUAUACAGGAAGAGACGACUCUUGCGAGAGGCAUUGACGGUACUGUAUGAAUAAGCACCGGCUAACUCCGUGCCAGCCGCCGCAGUAAUAC
rnacentral:rRNA from 1 species